rnacentral:lncRNA from 1 species
GCCCAUCCACCCAAAAAAAUCUUGAUGGCUACAAACUCUUGGAAAGCAACCUCCCUCGUAGCAGAUCUAAAUUUUUCAUCUAUUCAUGUAAAACCAUCCAAGGGGUAGUUCUUCAGAAUCUCUGCUCUAUAUGUGUCUAGCCAAAAACUGUCAUUGUCCAAGAAAAUACAGGACAUAGGAAAGAUUUUACAAUAGAGAUGAGAAUCGACAGAAAUAUGCACGAAAAAAAACUGUAAUAUGGAAACCAACCAAAAAGGCUUCUUUCCAAGCACUGCACCAACUCUGAAGUGGUCAUAAAUGAUACGACUUUGAAUUUUCUUUCAAUGUUUGAAAGUAGAGUCAACCGAUCAAACAUUCUCCAAGGCAUCCUUUUUCAACUCUUCUGCACUCGGAGCAGU